GAUGAACGCUGGCGGCAUGCCUAAUACAUGCAAGUCGAGCGGACACACGAGGAGCUUGCUCCUCUGCCGUUGGCGGCGGACGGGUGAGUAACAAAUGGAUAACCUACCUAUAAGACUGGGAUAACUUCGGGAACCCGGAGCUACUUAAGGCUAAUAUAUUGAACCGCAGGGUUCCAUACUACAAGACGGUUUUGCUGUCACUUGUAGAUGGAUCCGGGCCGCUUAAGAUAGUUGGUAAGGUAACGGCAUACCAAGGCGACGAUGCGUAGCCGACCGGUGAGGGGGAGCGGCUACACGGGAACGGAGACGCGGCACAGACUCCUACGCGAGGCAGCAGAAGGGAAUGGACUGCAAGGGGCGGAAGGCGGACGGAACAACGCCGCGUGGGGGGUAAAGGGCCUCGGAUCGUAAAACUCAGUUAUUUGGGAGGAACAAAUGUGUAAGGAACUAGGCACUUAUUGACGGUACCUAAUGAGAAAGCCACGGCUAACUACGUG
rnacentral:rRNA from 1 species